GGCUCUUUUCUUGACUCUAAAACGGUCUUGGAAUAAGGGGUGGGUAAGGACGGUGCCAGCCGCCGCGGUAAUACCGGCGCCUCAAGUGGUCGUCGCUUUUAUUGGGCCUAAAACGUCCGUAGCCGGUCUGGUGCAUUCGUGGGUAAAUCAACCCGCUCAACGGGUUGAAUUCUGCGAGCACGGCCAGACUUGGGACCGGGAGAGGUGUGGGGUACUCUCAGGGUAGGGGUAAAAUCCUGUCAUCCUGAGAGGACCACCUGUUGCGAAGGCGCCACACUAGAACGGAUCCGACGGUCAGGGACGAAACCUAGGGGCACGAACCGGAUUAGAUACCCGGGUAGUCCUAGGUGUAAACGCUGUGGACUUGAUGUUGGGGGCGCUCCGAGCGCUCUCAGUGUCGAAGCGAAGGUGAUAAGUCCACUGCCUGGGGAGUACGGUCGCAAGGCUGAAACUUAAAGGAAUUGGCGGGGGAGCACUGCAACCUGAGGAUUGUGCGGUUUAAUUGGAUUCAACGCCGGGAAU
rnacentral:rRNA from 1 species